CCUACGGGUGGCAGCAGUGAGGAAUAUUGGUCAAUGGGCGGAAGCCUGAACCAGCCAAGUAGCGUGCAGGAUGACGGCCCUACGGGUUGUAAACUGCUUUUAUACGGGAAUAACGCGCCUUACGUGUAGGGCUUUGCAUGUACCGUAUGAAUAAGGACCGGCUAAUUCCGUGCCAGCAGCCGCGGUAAUACGGGGGGUGCAAGCGUGGUCCGGAUUUAUUGGGCGUAAAGGGUUCGUAGGCGGCACGUAAAGUCUGUUGGUAAAGGCAGAGGCUCAACUUCUGUACGGCACUGGAUACUGGCGGGCUUGAUUGCGGUAGAGGUAAAGGGAAUUCCUGGUGUAGCGGUGAAAUGCUUAGAUAUCAGGAGGAACAUCGGUGGCGUAAGCGCUUUACUGGGCCGUAAUUGACGCUGAGGAACGAAAGCCAGGGUAGCAAACAGGAUUAGAUACCCUAGUAGUC
rnacentral:rRNA from 1 species